rnacentral:rRNA from 1 species
UACGAAGGGGGCUAGCGUUGCUCGGAAUCACUGGGCGUAAAGGGUGCGUAGGCGGGUCUUUAAGUCGGGGGUGAAAUCCUGGAGCUCAACUCCAGAACUGCCUUUGAUACUGAGGAUCUUGAGUUCGGGAGAGGUGAGUGGAACUGCGAGUGUAGAGGUGAAAUUCGUAGAUAUUCGCAAGAACACCAGUGGCGAAGGCGGCUCACUGGCCCGAUACUGACGCUGAGGCACGAAAGCCAGGGGAGCGAACGGG